rnacentral:rRNA from 1 species
AUUGAACGCUGGCGGCAGGCCUAACACAUGCAAGUCGAACGGUAACAGAAAGCAGCUUGCUGCUUUGCUGACGAGUGGCGGACGGGUGAGUAAUGUCUGGGAAGCUGCCUGAUGGAGGGGGAUAACUACUGGAAACGGUAGCUAAUACCGCAUAACGUCGCAAGACCAAAGAGGGGGACCUUCGGGCCUCUUGCCAUCGGAUGUGCCCAGAUGGGAUUAGCUAGUAGGGGGGGUAACGGCUCCCCUAGGCGACGAUCCCUAGCUGGGCUGAGGGGAUGACCAGCCACCCUGGAACGAAGACACGGUCCAGACUCCUACGGGAGGCAGCAGGGGGGAAUAUUGCACAAUGGGCGCAAGCCUGAUGCAGCCAUGCCGCGUGUAUGAAGAAGGCCUUCGGGUUGUAAAGUACUUUCAGCGAGGAGGAAGGUGUUGUGGUUAAUAACCACAGCAAUUGACGUUACUCGCAGAAGAAGCACCGGCUAACUCCGUGCCAGCCGCCGCCGUAA